UCUCCGUCUCUGAGUAAUUUCAGUUCAGUAGCUCCCUAAUUAAUUCUUUUUAUGAAAGAAUCCACCAACGCGAUUGAUGCUGCUGUUCUUCAAUUAAAUGUGUAGUAAUCACGGAAUUGGAUAGAAAAUCACAGGAGAAGAGGAUUGUCAAUUUCAGCCGUCAAUCCAAACCAUACCCCUUCAUCUUAUCCGUAGAUUGCAAAUCAUAAUUCCGCCGAAGCAUCGCCUCCAACAUUGCUGUAAAUAUUUCUUGCUCCGACAAACGUAAAGGCAUAGACAGCAAAAACUGGGAAGGAUGUGAAGAGAAGAAAGCUCAUCUUUAUCACCAUUCAGCAGAUUCAUCAGCAAGCCAAUGCAGCCAUCAAUGGAGCUAUUGGAAGUCCAAGCAAGAAGUGUAGAAAUCAGCACAUUGGUUUUGAUUGGACAUCUAGUAGACAAUUUUAAGGAAUCAUUCGAAACCUCAUAUGUUCAGCUGUCUAAACCAGACCACCCUGCCAAAUUAGGACUUUGUUAAUCCUCGGUGAAUUUCGAUCCUUGUGGUUGUGUAUUUCCUUUUAAGUGGCAUCCUCCAAUUACAUCAUGUGAAGGAAUUGUGCAGAUUCUUGGAUGAAGUUUCAACAGAAGCAGAGUGUUCCAGGUAGGCUUCACCGCCUCAGAGUUUGUGAACUGUGCAGUUCCAAAUUGUUGAUAAUUUUGGAAACGAAGACGAGAACAUCUGCAACUUAAUUGUUAGUUCAGAGCGCGCAUUUUUGUUGAUUGCUUUGAUGGACUAGCUGCGGUGACUAUUAAGAACCAUGUUCUUGUGUAUUCUGAAACUUAAAACUUUGACAGUCCGGGUUUUGUAUUUACCUCCUCGGAAGAAAAGAGAAUGAUCGAUGGUGGCAUUGAUGUGAAUUGGGCUGCAACUUUGGUUGGGGAAGACUGUAGAUAUCAUCAAAAAGCCAACAGAACGAUGUGGAACUGCCUGGAAAAGUAGGAUGUAAAGAUGGGGCAUCACUUUGUGAAUCUGAUGGCUAUGAUAUUCAACAUGGAAGACCAUAUGUGUCAAACGAGAGCAACGUUUAUGGUGGCUGCUAAGGCUCCAUCCAGUCACAGACUCGCAUUAUACCGAAAAUUCAAUAUACUCGGUAUUCUUAGGGUACAGUAUUUUUCGUCAUCCUUGCUUAAAACUGAUGAAAAUGGGUACAAACUCUCUCUUCACGUUGUUGGGAAUCCAGGCUGGCCUCUCAUGUGCAGGGAGAAGGAUCAAACACUACAAUGAUUCGGUAUUAUUGUAAAUAAAUAGUAGUAGUAUUUGAUUUGUAUUUUAAGUUUUGGUGAUGUGGUGUAUAUUAUAUGGAGUAUGUCUUAUUUUGGGACAAAAUUCAGAUGGCAAAUUGGAGACUAGGACAUGCAUGGGUAAAUAUUAUGUAUAUUUAAAAAUUAAAUACUCAUUCUUUUCCCAUUUUUUCCA